rnacentral:rRNA from 1 species
GACGAAGGUGGCGACCGUUGUUCGGAAUUACUGGGCAUAAAGCGCACGUAGGCGGCAAUGUAAGUCAGGUGUGAAAUCCCCCGGCCCAACCGGGGAAUUGCGCUUGAUACUGUGUUGCUUGAGGGCAGGAGGGGACCGUGGAAUUCCUGGUGGAGCGGUGAAAUGCGUUGAUAUCAGGAGGAACACCGGCGGCGAAGGCGACGGUCUGGCCUGCUUCUGACGCUGAGGUGCGAAAGCCAGGGGAGCAAACGGG